rnacentral:lncRNA from 1 species
AGGAAAACUCCUAUAGAUAGGGAUGGUACAAUAUUUACAAAGCUCAAUCAGAUCGUUGCCUACGCAGAUGAUAUAGACAUAAUCAGCUGGACAUUAAAAGACCUAGAAAAAAUUUAUACAUAUUUUAAAGAAGCGGCACAGACUAUGGGUCUAGAAGUUAAUGUCUCAAAGACAAAGUGCAUGAUAACAACUCGGGAAAAAG